rnacentral:lncRNA from 1 species
GACAGAACAAGACCCUAUCAUUUUAAAAAAUGAAAUAAAUUAAAUAAAUUUAAAAAUAAAGGUACAGGCCUGCCCCCAGCCUCACUCAGGACUCCUAAAUCUGGUGAGCUUGAGCCAACUGCCAGUAUUCAGAGAAUUUUUGAAGAAUCAUUAGGACAAACAGUUAGUGCAUGUGAGGCUUAAAACCUAGAUGACAGGUUGAUAGGUGCAGCAGACCACCAUGGCACACAUAUACCCAUGUAACAAACCUACACGUUCUGUACUUGUAUCUGGGAACUUAAAAUUUUAAAUUUAAAAAAAAAAAGUAUCUUGGAAUGGGAAAGGCCUUUCUAAGUAUGCAACAAAAUCAAAAAGUGGUAACAAAAAAACAGCUAAGUUUGACUUCAAAGAAACUCUGGCAUGGCAAUCACUACCAUAAGCAAAGUCUACAACAAAGGGGAAAAAAUUAUUUGCAAUUCAUAUCACAAGCAGCUAAUUUCCCUAACACAUAGAUAGCAUCUAGAAAUUGAUAAGAAAAAAAAAAUCAAAAGAAGGCAUCACGGAUCAUCACCAGGCCCCCACCUUGGCUCACACCUGUAAUCCCAGCUACUCAGGAGGCUGAGACAGGAGGAUCACUUAAGCCCAGGAGUUCCAGGCUGCAGUGAACUAUGAUCAUCCCAAUGCACUAAGCCUGGGCAGCAGUAUGAGACUGUCUCUUAACAGAAAAGACAAAGAAACAGGGGGAAAAAGAAGAACAAGGAAGGUCUGUGACUAUAUGUUUGGACCACAUGGCUGUGAUCCCUACCACCACUUAGUGACAGCAUACAUGAAUUGCAUGCUUAAUGCCGAUACCAUUCAGCCUAGAGGGGCUCCUGGACCAGGCCAGAUUUCCUACAAGGUGUUACCAAGUGGAGUUGGAAACUUGUCACCUCCUCACACCCUAACUUAUUUUUUAAAAAUAACAUAUGACUUUCCUAUAUAGGACAGAAGAUUAAUGCAUUGUUUUAUAAGCUGAACAAGAUGUUCCUUUACAAAACUUCCAAAUGACAGAAUACUAAUUUUUCCUUCACUCUUUGGCUGACUGUAAAAAUGUGCUUAAUUAAUAAAGACAUGUCCUCUCUCUGUGGGGAUGGCAGAAUAA